GAUGAACGCUAGCUACAGGCUUAACACAUGCAAGCCGAGGGGUAACGAGAGGAAAGCUUGCUUUCCUUGUUGACGACCGGCGCACGGGUGAGUAACGCGUAUCCAACCUGCCCCCAACUAGGGAAUAACCUUGCGAAAGUAAGACUAAUACCCUAUAAUUUCCUCAGAUGUCAUCUGACGAGGAAUAAAGAUUUAUCGGUUGUGGAUGGGGAUGCGUCUGAUUAGCUUGUUGGCGGGGUAACGGCCCACCAAGGCAACGAUCAGUAGGGGUUCUGAGAGGAAGGUCCCCCACAUUGGAACUGAGACACGGUCCAAACUCCUACGGGAGGCAGCAGUGAGGAAUAUUGGUCAAUGGGCGGAAGCCUGAACCAGCCAAGUAGCGUGCAGGAUGACGGCCCUAUGGGUUGUAAACUGCUUUUAUACAGGAAUAAAGUUAGCCACGUGUGGUUAUCUGUAGGUACUGUAUGAAUAAGGACCGGCUAAUUCCGUGCCAGCCGCCGCGGUAA
rnacentral:rRNA from 1 species